AGCGAACGCUGGCGGCAUGCCUAACACAUGCAAGUCGAACGAACCUUUCGGGGUUAGUUGCGGACGGGUUAGUAACCCGACGGAAGGUUCCCUUGGGGUCGGAAUAACUCAGGGAAACUUGUGCUAAUACCGAAUGUGCCCUACGGGGGCAUGAUUUAUCGACUUUAGAGCGGACCGCUUCGGAUUAGCUAGUUCGUCGAUGUAAGGGCUCACCAAGGCGUAGUUGAGUAGCUGGUCUGGGAGGAUGAUCAGCCACAUUGGGACUGAGACACGGACGGAACUCCUACGGGAGGCAGAAGUGGGGACUGUUGCGCAAUGGGCGAGAGACUGACGCAGCCAGGUCGCGUGAAUGAUGAAGGUCUUAGGAUUGUAAAAUUCUUUCACCGGCGAAGAUAGUGACGGUAACCGGAGAAGAAGCCACGGCUAACUUCGUG
rnacentral:rRNA from 1 species